rnacentral:rRNA from 1 species
AUUGAACGCUGGCGGCAGGCCUAACACAUGCAAGUCGAACGAGUGGCGCACGGGUGAGUAAUGUCUGGGAAACUGCCUGAUGGAGGGGGAUAACCACUGGAAACGGUAGAUAACACCGCAUACCAUCAGAUGUGCCCAGAUGGGAUGAGCUAGUGGGUGGGGUAACGGCUCACCAAGGCGACUAUCCCUAGCUGGUCUGAGAGGAUGACCAGCCACACUGGAACUGAGACACGGUCCAGACUCCUACGGGAGGCAGCAGUGGGGAAUAUUGCACGAUGGGCGCAAGCCUGAUACAGCCAUGCCGCGUGUAUGAAGAAGGCCUGCGGGUUGUAAAGUACUUUCAGAGGGGAGGCGUUACCCGCAGAAGAAGCACCGGCUAACUCCGUGCCAGCAGCCGCGGUAAUAC